rnacentral:rRNA from 1 species
GACGAACGCUGGCGGCGUGCCUAACACUUGCAAGUCGAGCGGAGUUAAUUGAAAGCUUGCUUUUGAUUAACUUAGCGGCGGACGGGUGAGUAACGCGUGGGCAACCUGCCUGUUACAGGGGGAUAACACAGGGAAACUUGUGCUAAUACCGCAUAAUACAACGAGAAAGCAUUUUCUUGUUGUCAAAGGAGCAAUCCGGUGACAGAUGGGCCCGCGUCCAAUUAGCUAGUUGGUGGUGUAACGGACCACCAAGGCGACGAUUGGUAGCCGAACUGAGAGGUUGAUCGGCCACAUUGGGACUGAGACACGGCCCAGACUCCUACGGGAGGCAGCAGUGGGGAAUAUUGCACAAUGGGGGAAACCCUGAUGCAGCAACGUCGCGUGAAGGAUGAAGGUUUUCGGAUUGUAAACUUCUUUAGUCAGGGACGAAUAAAUGACGGUACCUGAAGAAUAAGCCACGGCUAACUACGUGCCAGCCGCCGCCGUAA